rnacentral:rRNA from 1 species
UACGAAGGGUGCAAGCGUUACUCGGAAUUACUGGGCGUAAAGCGUGCGUAGGCGGUUUGUUAAGUCUGUCGUGAAAGCCCUGGGCUCAACCUGGGAAUUGCGAUGGAUACUGGCAAGCUAGAGUACGGUAGAGGAUGGUGGAAUUCCCGGUGUAGCGGUGAAAUGCGUAGAGAUCGGGAGGAACACCUGUGGCGAAGGCGGCCCCCUGGGCCGGCCCUGACACUGAGACGCGAAGGCGUGGGGAGCAAACAGG